rnacentral:rRNA from 1 species
UACGUAGGGUGCGAGCGUUGUCCGGAAUUAUUGGGCGUAAAGGGUUCGUAGGCGGUUUGUCACGUCAGGAGUGAAAACUCGGGGCUCAACCCCGAGCCUGCUUCUGAUACGGGCAGACUAGAGGUAUGCAGGGGAGAACGGAAUUCCUGGUGUAGCGGUGAAAUGCGCAGAUAUCAGGAGGAACACCGGUGGCGAAGGCGGUUCUCUGGGCAUUACCUGACGCUGAGGAGCGAAAGUGUGGGGAGCGAACAGG